rnacentral:rRNA from 1 species
CCAGACUCCUACGGGAGGCAGCAGUGGGGAAUAUUGGACAAUGGACCAAGAGUCUGAUCCAGCAAUUCUGUGUGCACGAUGAAGUUUUUCGGAAUGUAAAGUGCUUUCAGUUGGGAAGAAAGAAAUGACGGUACCAACAGAAGAAGUGACGGCUAAAUACGUGCCAGCAGCCGCGGUAAUACGUAUGUCACGAGCGUUAUCCGGAUUUAUUGGGCGUAAAGCGCGUCUAGGUGGUUAUAUAAGUCUGAUGUGAAAAUGCAGGGCUCAACUCUGUAUUGCGUUGGAAACUGUAUAACUAGAGUACUGGAGAGGUAAGCGGAACUACAAGUGUAGAGGUGAAAUUCGUAGAUAUUUGUAGGAAUGCCGAUGGGGAAGCCAGCUUACUGGACAGAUACUGACGCUGAAGCGCGAAAGCGUGGGUAGCAAACAGGAUUAGAUACCCUGGUAGUCCACGCCGUAAACGAUGAUUACUAGGUGUUGGGGGUCGAACCUCAGCGCCCAAGCAAACGCGAUAAGUAAUCCGCCUGGGGAGUACGUACGCAAGGUUAAAACUCAAAUGAAUUGACGGGGGCCCGCACAAG